AGCGAACGCUGGCGGCAGGCUUAACACAUGCAAGUCGAGCGGGCAUCUUCGGAUGUCAGCGGCAGACGGGUGAGUAACACGUGGGAACGUACCCUUCGGUUCGGAACAACUCUGGGAAACUGGAGCUAAUACCGGAUACGCCCUUAUGGGGAAAGGUUUACUGCCGAAGGAUCGGCCCGCGUCUGAUUAGCUAGUUGGUGGGGUAACGGCCUACCAAGGCGACGAUCAGUAGCUGGUCUGAGAGGAUGAUCAGCCACACUGGGACUGAGACACGGCCCAGACUCCUACGGGAGGCAGCAGUGGGGAAUAUUGGACAAUGGGCGCAAGCCUGAUCCAGCCAGGCCGCGUGAGUGAUGAAGGCCUUAGGGUUGUAAAGCUCUUUUGUCCGGGACGAUAAUGACGGUACCGGAAGAAUAAGCCCCGGCUAACUUCGUG
rnacentral:rRNA from 1 species